GAACGCUGGCGGCAUGCCUAACACAUGCAAGUCGAACGGACUAAUUGGGGCUUGCUCCAAUUAGUUAGUGGCAGACGGGUGAGUAACAUGUGGGAAUCUACCCAUCAGUACGGAAUAACUUUUAGAAAUAAAAGCUAAUACCGUAUAUUCUCUACGGAGGAAAGAUUUAUCGCUGAUGGAUGAGCCCGCGUCAGAUUAGGUAGUUGGUGAGGUAAUGGCUCACCAAGCCGACGAUCUGUAGCUGGUCUGAGAGGAUGACCAGCCACACUGGGACUGAGACACGUCC
rnacentral:rRNA from 1 species